AGGUAUGUUAACCCUCUCGUCUCAAAGCUUAAAUAUUUAAAGAAUGAACACAUUUAAAUGUAGUCUUCAACACUAUGGUGAAAGUCAUCGCCGACUUGAGAUGAAGCUCCAAGAAUUCUCUAGAAAAUUGGUGAUGAUUUCUUGCUAAUCAAAUUCCUCAAUCCAUAAGAAUUCCUAGAAGAAACUGGACAAAUUAUUGAAAGGCUGUCCACCGCCGGCCAUUUAUGACAAAUUCUGGACAAUAUGGCAGGCUGCUGAUUUUAUUUACAUAAUAGAAUUAUUUAGAAUUGUAAGCCACCGAUAUACACUAUUAUAAAUAUGUUCCAGCACCUCAUUUUGAGUCAUAGAGUGAACUGAGAGUGGAGAAGACAAAACAGAGAGAUAAAGAGAGAGAGAAAAAGAGAGAGCAUUGCAUAUUAGUGGUGUGUGUAACAGCACCUCAUUUUGAGUCAUAGAGUGAAUUGAGAGUGGAGAAGACAAAACAGAGAGAUAAAGAGAGAGAGCAUUGCAUAUUAGUGGUGUGUGUAAGGUGAUAAAGAAUUGAGAUAAAGUGGAGAUAUAGAUACAGCUGUGUGUAUGUGUUUUGUUGGAGAGAGAAAUUUUCAUUUGCUAGAUAGUGGUCCUUGUUGAGUGAGUAUCCAAAAUUGUAAAAUUCCAUUUCAUAAAUAAACUUCUACUGUGGGUGUUUAAACUCUACAUAUGGGACAUGCAAUUUAACUAUUGACAGGUA
rnacentral:lncRNA from 1 species